rnacentral:rRNA from 1 species
ACGAAGGGGGCUAGCGUUGUUCGGAAUUACUGGGCGUAAAGCGCACGUAGGCGGAUUGGUCAGUUAGGGGUGAAACCCCGGGGCUCAACCUCGGGUCUGCAGUCGAUACGAGCAAACUAGAGUGUUGCAGGGGAGACUGGAAUUCCAGGUGUAGCGGUGAAAUGCGCAGAUAUCAGGAGGAACACCGGUGGCGAAGGCGGGUCUCUGGGCAACAACUGACGCUGAGGAGCGAAAGCGUGGGGAGCAAACAGGA